rnacentral:rRNA from 1 species
AGUGGAUGGGGAGCAACCUAGUUGUGCGUGUGUAAAGGUAGUGCCAAGAAAAGCGAUGAUCAUGUUGAAAAUCAAUUCCCGGUACCCGAAACCGACACAGGUGGGCAAGUAGAGAAUACUAAGGGGCGCGAGGUAACUCUCUCCAAGGAACUCGGCAAAAUGACCCCGUAACUUAGGGAGAAGGGGUGCCACCGAGAGGUGGUCGCAGUGAAGAGGCCCAGGCGACUGUUUAGCAAAAACAUAGGUCUCUGCAAACUCGAAAGAGGAGGUAUAGGGGCUGACGCCUGCCCAGUGCCGGAAGGUUAAAGAAGUUGGUCAGUCUUAGGAUGAAGCUAGCGACUGAAGCCCCGGUGAACGGCGGCCGUAACUAUAACGGUCCUAAGGUAGCGAAAUUCCUUGUCGGGUAAGUUCCGACCCGCACGAAAGGCGUAACGAUCUGGGCGCUGUCUCGGAGAGAGGCUCGGCGAAAUAGGAUUGUCUGUGAAGAUACGGACUACCUGCAUUUGGACAGAAAGACCCUAUGAAGCUUUACUAUAGCUUGGAAUUGUGUUCGGGCUUCCUGUGCGCAGGAUAGGUGGGAGGCGUAGAAGGUAUUCUUGUGGGGAUACUGGAGCCAACGGUGAGGUACCACUCUCAGGAGGCUAGAAUUCUAACUUAAUUAAGGACAGUUUCAGGUGGGUAGUUUGACUGGGGCGGUCGCCUCCAAAAAGGUAACGGAGGCGUACAAAGGUUCCCUCAGACUGGUUGGAAAUCAGUCGAAGAGUGCAAAGGCAGAAGGGAGCUUGACUGCGAGAAGUACAGUUCGAGCAGGGUGGAAACACGGUCUUAGUGAUCCGACGGUGCUGUGUGGAAGGGCCGUCGCUCAACGGAUAAAAGUUACUCUAGGAUAACAGGCUGAUCUCCCCCAAGAGUUCACAUCGACGGGGAGGUUUGGCACCUCGAUGUCGGCUCAUCGCAACCUGGGGCGGAAGUACGUCCCAAGGGUUGGGCUGUUCGCCCAUUAAAGCGGUACGUGAGCUGGGUUCAGAACGUCGUGAGACAGUUCGGUCCAUAUCCGAUGUAGGCGUGAGAAUAUUGAGAGGAGCCUUCCUUAGUACGAGAGGACCGGGAAGGACGCACCGCUGGUGUACCUGUUAUGAUGCCAAUUGUAAACGCAGGGUAGCCAAGUGCGGAGAGGAUAACCGCUGAAAGCAUCUAAGAGGGAAGCCCACCUCAAGAUGAGUAUUCUGGUGUAAGGUCACGGGAAGACGACCCGUAAAUAGGCACGGGGUGGAAGUGCAGAGAUGUAUGAAGCCGAAGUGUACUAAUAGACCGUCGGCUUGACC